GCGCCGCCGUUUUGUGCGUCGUCGUUUAUUCUGUCGUUAUUUCAAUAUUGCGUAUUGACCGUAUCCGUUUAUUUAAUGUGAUUUUGUAAAUUUUCUACUUCUAUGGCGAUUAUAUUAUUAAUUGUCGAUAUUGUGACAGUCUCAUUUUAUUUUGUGAUUUUUACACGGCGCCGUUUGUCGUGUGCCCGGAGGACUGCUUCGAUAACGAGAGUGCCGGCUCUAACGAUCUCUGACAAACGGAUUUAUCAAACGGAUAACGCGUUUUUUUUUCGUUAAAAAACACGACAAAAAACCCGUGCGUUUGACGUUUUCACAACAAUUAAGGAGUUUGUUGUAUCCCGAGGAAUGUUUCAAUAACGGCUCGCCCCGUAGGCCAAUCGGUUCUAAUGGAUAACGGAUUUAUUGCACCGACUCGCGUCCGUUGUGCCCAUACGAAUACGCUGGAAAUCGCUGAUGGUUUUAGUUUUUUAUUACGAGGGCAAUUCAAAUUUACACCGAACCCUAACCGACCCGAAGAGUGCUGGCUCUAAUUCAUAAUCGGUUGUAUUGCACGGAUGGUAUCCGUUGUGCUCUGAUGACUGUGCUGGAGAUUGUUGUUGAUAGUUUUAGAUUUAUUGCACAGAAUGAGUUGGUUGUAUCCUGAGGAAUGCUUCAAUAAUGACUCUGCCCGUAGGCCAAUCGGUUCUAAUGGAUAACGGAUUUAUUACAAGGACGGUAUCUGUUGUGCCACGAUAACUAAGCUAGAGAUUGAUGGCAGUCAUCGCUAUUGAAUUUAUUGCAAAGACUGUGCUACCAUUGUAGUUCCAGGAUAAAGACUGACCUAGAGAUUCAUGGCAGUCAUCGCUAUUGAAUUUAUUGCAAAGAAGGAGUUUGUUGUAUCCUGAAGAAUGCUUCAAUAAUGGCUCGGCCUGUUGGCCAAAAGUGCUGGUUCUAAUGGAUAAUGGAUUUAUUACGCGGGUAAUUCAUUUUCAUUUGUUAAUUAAAAUUAGUCGGUCAGUGUUUUAUCUAUUGGUGACUACACCAUGUGUUGUAUAUUGAACUAAAUUAAUCAUACAUUUUUAAUUUUUGUUGUCAUGUUUAUUUAUUCACACUCAUGAACGUCUUUGUGGUGUUCUCGAGUAUCUCAAAAUAGAGUUCUUCUUUAUACAUUUUAAUCAUUAGUUCGAUUUGUAUUUCAUUUAUU